rnacentral:rRNA from 1 species
AUGAACGCUGGCGGCGUGCCUAAUACAUGCAAGUCGAGCGAACGGACGAGAAGCUUGCUUCUCUGAUGUUAGCGGCGGACGGGUGAGUAACCCGUGGAUAACCUACCUAUAAGACUGGGAUAACUUCGGGAAACCGGAGCUAAUACCGGAUAAUAUUUUGAACCGCAUGGUUCAAAAGUAAAAGACGGUCUUGCUGUCACUUAUAGAUGGAUCCGCGCUGCAUUAGCUAGUUGGUAAGGUAACGGCUUACCAAGGCAACGAUGCAUAGCCGACCUGAGAGGGUGAUCGGCCACACUGGAACUGAGACACGGUCCAGACUCCUACGGGAGGCAGCAGUAGGGAAUCUUCCGCAAUGGGCGAAAGCCUGACGGAGCAACGCCGCGUGAGUGAUGAAGGUCUUCGGAUCGUAAAACUCUGUUAUUAGGGAAGAACAUAUGUGUAAGUAACUGUGCACAUCUUGACGGUACCUAAUCAGAAAGCCACGGCUAACUACGUG